AAUUUUUCUUCAUUUAUUUUCUCGACUUCUACCGCUCUCCCCUAUCAUUUUCUGCCAUUUUUGAACCCUUGGUGCCUUUUCUUUUGCUGAUCUUUGUGUUUGCCGGUGUGGAGUCACUUUGUUGGGGGAAAAUUCGUCAACUGGUAGCUUAUUUGGGUUGGUGGGUUGGGUUCCACGGAUCUUGAACUUGCAGAAGCUAAAUUCUCCUGGUUUGGAAGCUGUGUAUGUUAAAGGCAAUUUACUCUGAGGUAGAAUGAGAGAAAAGUGAAGUAUACGAAUCAGCUAGAAAGCAAGGUGUGCCUAUUUCAAACCCAAGCAAGCGCCCUUUCAGGAUACGUCACUUUAUUACAGAACAAUGCGGUUGAAGCUUCUCCAUCAGACAUUGAUUAUGAAGUCGUUGCCUCAAAGAUUCAAGCUGGUGAUUGCUACAAAGUCAUAAAUUUUCGAACGAUCAAGAUCAGAGGGCAGUAUAAAGUCGUGCCACAUGAUAUACCCAACUUAUAUUCACUUCUAAAACAAUGCUUAUAAUUCUAUCUGUUGUCUUUCCGCCCAUUCGGUGACAUCGGUUUUUCCUGCUAGAUUUUAACAUGCUUUAUCCGCGUCUGAAUAGAGAUGAUAUUCUUACAAGUAAUAUUAAAACAUAUAUAUCUAUCUGUCUACGUGUGCAUCAAUUAAAAACAUUUAUGUUCUUUUUUUUUAAUGAAAUAAGUUCUGACAUAGUUUUUGUGUUAACUUUUCAAAUUGUAAGAUGUAAUUGGCCAUCUGACUACGGUCCAUCACUUGGAACCAAAACAAAUUAAUCAAAGAAUAGCCCAGAGGUUUGAUAUGACCAUUGAGAAUACCAGAAAAGAGGAGUUGUCUAUUACGUUGUGGGAAGAUGUUGCAAAAGCUUUUUCUUCUUUAUCGGUCCACACAAUGUCUUUGCCCAUUAUCAUUGUAUUUAAAAGUUUAAAAGUCAAGCUUUAUCUAGAUAGCUGAUUUAACUGAAACCCACUUUUUCUAUUUUUAUUUUAUUAUCUUCUUACAUUAGUUGCUAUACACUAUUCUAGUAUUUUAUCAUUAUGUAAUUUUAGUG